AAACAGUGUCUAACUAUUAUCUAGAGUAGGCUUUUAAUAUAAUUAUGUAGAUCUACGUAGAUCCUAUCGAUUUAGCAAAUUAAAAUCGUUAUGAUGAGUCCCUGGUUCUUUCCCUUGCUAAUGCCGUAUAAUCAUAGAUAGUAGAGGGGAGGGUUUGGAAACAUCUCAGGUGACCAAUGUAUUGCCUUAGAGAAUUCUGACACCAUGCGUGUUGCAUUCCGCAAGUAUUGAUUGCGAUUGAUUGCGAGCCAGAUGCAAAGACAAAAGAGAAGAAAGUGAAGAAAACUGCAGUACACUGACAGAGCUAAUGUACUCAGAAAAUCAGAAAAUCUGCCAAGACCCUUUUGUAUGCCAACGGCAGAGGGGAUGGACACAUGAUAACCCCACUGUUAUGUAUUAUGAUUAGUAAAUUCUUUUUCAAGAGCUAAACAGUGACCGAUGACGAGAAUACACCAUUGCCUAAAAGGGCGUCACGCUCAUAAAAAUUAUGUUUUGUGUUUGUAAACAUUUUUAUGUAAACAUCAAAAUUGUGUGAUUGUGUGAAA